AAUAAAAAUGACUCUCGGCAAUGGAUAUCUUGGCUCUUGCAUCGAUGAAGAACGUAGCAAAAUGCGAUACUUUGUGUGAAUUGCAGAAUCCCGUGAACCAUUGAAACUUUGAACGCAAGUUGCGCCUCAAGCCAUUGGGUUGAGGGCACGUCUGCUUGGGUGUCAUGCAUUAUGUCUCCCCUCUCGUGUGUGGAGUGGGAAUAGAUCCUGGCCUCCUGGGCCCUUCCUUGGGUGUGGUUGGCCAAAAAUGUUGUCCUUGAUUUUGUUGAUGUCUUGGUGUGCGGUGGAUGUGCCAGGUGUGCAUAGUUGCCAGCCUUGCUUGACGUCAUUGGGGCGUUUGGAUCCUAUGAAGCUGCUGGUUUUGGCUCUUUGAUUGCGACCCCAAGUCAGGCGAGACUACCCGCUGAGUUUAAGCAUAUCAAUAAGCGGAGGAAA
rnacentral:rRNA from 1 species